CUCAAACUCACCGACUUGGUCCUGAAUAUCUUCAGCGACUCCCGGGACCUUGAACAGCAGCCCGAGAGACUGAUUCAUCCUCUCCUCAAUCACAUGCAAAUGGGUCAGCACCUGAGGCCGGAUCUGAGCAGCUUUCUUGGGAUCGACCAUGCGCACGUGUUCAAAGUGUUUGAGUGUGUGCUGUCGGUCCUUCUGCUCGGCGCGAACGUACUUCUUCAGCAGGCUAAACACGUGCCGCGGCUAAAAAGAGACAACAUGAAGAUCAGGAAUCAGCAGUCAGAGAUCUGAAAUCAUCAUACAGCU